UGGAUCAAUGAUGAUACCUGCUGGCAUAUGAGUCACGGAUAAUGAAUAAUAUGUGUCUGAAAAUGGGGUAUUUCUCUAU
rfam:Myotis brandtii contig274943, whole genome shotgun sequence.